rnacentral:rRNA from 1 species
CCUACGGGAGGCAGCAGUAGGGAAUCUUUCACAAUGGGCGCAAGCCUGAUGGAGCAACGCCGCGUGCAGGAUGAAGGCCUUCGGGUUGUAAACUGCUUUUAUAAGCGAGAAAUAUGAUGGUAACUUAUGAAUAAGUAUCGGCUAACUACGUGCCAGCAGCCGCGGUCAUACGUAGGAUCCGAGCAUUAUCCGGAGUGACUGGGUGUAAAGAGUUGCGUAGGUGGCAUAAUAAGUAGCUAGUGAAAUCUGGUGGCUCAACCAUUCAGACUAUUAGCUAAACUGUUAAGCUCGAGACCGUUAGGGGUAACUGGAAUUUCUAGUGUAGGAGUGAAAUCCGUAGAUAUUAGAAGGAACACCAAUAGCGUAGGCAGGUUGCUGGGACGGUUCUGACACUAAGGCACGAAAGCGUAGGGAGCAAACGGGAUUAGAUACCCUUGUAGUC